rnacentral:lncRNA from 1 species
GACCUUGCCAGGGGCAGUCCAUGAAAGUUGAAUGUGAUCUCCUUGAAACUUAGCCUCGAGGUCUACAAUUUUACCAGGUGGGAACACCUGAGAAUGAUUACCAUUAGGAGGCACUCCUGAUACAGUAAACGACCCUCCAGAGGUGAGUCUGCUGAAGUCGUCUGUUUGAGCUCCUGCCACAUCAUCUGUGACUUCAGGUUUGGAUGGGUUCAGUAUAAUUU